rnacentral:rRNA from 1 species
CCUACGGGAGGCUGCAGUGGGGAAUAUUGGACAAUGGGGGCAACCCUGAUCCAGCCAUGCCGCGUGUGUGAAGAAGGCCCUCGGGUUGUAAAGCACUUUCAGUGAGGAAGAACGCCUGGUGGUUAAUACCCAUCAGGAAAGACAUCACUCACAGAAGAAGCACCGGCUAACUCCGUGCCAGCAGCCGCGGUAAUACGGAGGGUGCGAGCGUUAAUCGGAAUUACUGGGCGUAAAGCGCGCGUAGGUGCUUGAUAAGCCGGUUGUGAAAGCCCCGGGCUCAACCUGGGAACGGCAUCCGGAACUGUCAAGCUAGAGAGCAAGAGAGGAAGGUAGAAUUCCCAGUGUAGCGGUGAAAUGCGUAGGGAUCGGGAGGAAUACCAGUGGCGAAGGCGGCCUUCUGGACUGACACUGACACUGAGGUGCGAAAGCGUGGGUAGCAAACAGGAAUAGAUACCCUAGGAGUC